rnacentral:rRNA from 1 species
GACAGAGGCCUCAAGCGUUAGGCGGAAUCACUGGGCUUAAAGCGUGUGUAGGUGGAUGCCUAAGUACCUUGUGAAAUCCCAUGGCUUAACCAUGGAAUUGCUCGGUAUACUGGGUGUCUUGAGCCACUCAGGGGCUACCGGAACAAGCGGUGGAGCGGUGAAAUGCGUAGAUAUCGCUUGGAACGCCAAAGGUGAAAACGAGGUAGCUGGGGGUGUGCUGACGCUGAGACACGAAAGCCAGGGGAGCAAACGGG